ACGGUGGUUUAUACAAAGAGAUAG
rnacentral:siRNA from 1 species